AUCUUUAUUUUUAUCAUAAUAUAUGAUUUAAAAAAUUAUUUAUUAAAGUGUGGGUUUUAAAUACAAAAUUUUGCGAGACCAUGGUCAGUGACCAGGCACGCUAAAAUCGGUAAUGAUCCUUCCGCAGGUUCACCUACGGAAA
rnacentral:misc_RNA from 1 species